rnacentral:rRNA from 1 species
GAUGAACGCUGGCGGCGUGCCUAAUACAUGCAAGUCGAGCGAACAGGCGAGGAGCUUGCUCCUCUGACGUUAGCGGCGGACGGGUGAGUAACACGUGGAUAACCUACCUAUAAGACUGGGAUAACUUCUGGAAACCGGAGCUAAUACCGGAUAAUAUAUUGAACCGCAUGGUUCAAUAGUGAAAGACGGUUUUGCUUUCACUUAUAGAUGGAUCCGCGCCGCAUUAGCUAGUUGGUAAGGUAACGGCUUACCAAGGCGACGAUUCGUAGCCGACCUGAGAGGGUGAUCGGCCACACUGGAACUGAGACACGGUCCAGACUCCUACGGGAGGCAGCAGUAGGGAAUCUUCCGCAAUGGGCGAAAGCCUGACGGAGCAACGCCGCGUGAGUGAUGAAGGUCUUCGGAUCGUAAAACUCUGUUAUUAGGGAAGAACAAAUGUGUAAGUAACUAUGCACGUCUUGACGGUACCUAAUCAGAAAGCCACGGCUAACUACGUG